ensembl:snRNA U6 U6 spliceosomal RNA
GUGCUUCUUUUGGCAGCACAUAUACUAAAAUUAGAAUGAUCCAGAACAGAUUAGCGUGGCCUCUGCACAAGGAUGACACACAAAUUCAUGAAGUGUUCCAUAUUCAU